rnacentral:rRNA from 1 species
CCGACCGGGGUGCAGCAGGCCCGAAACCUUUUACAAUGCACGAAAGUGUAUAAGGGAAUCCUAAGUGCUAAUGUUUUACAUUAGCUUUUGCCGAGAGUAAAUAUCUCGGAGAAUAAGUGGUGGGUAAGACUGGUGCCAGCCGCCGCGGUAACACCAGCGCCACAAGUGCAAUCGCAUUUAUUGGGCCUAAAGCGUCCGUAGCUGGUUUUGUAAAUUUCUUGUGAAAUCAUCAAGCUUAACUUGAUGGCUUGCAGGAAACACUGCAUAACUUGGAACCGGGAGGAGUCAAAAGUAUGUUUAGGGGCGCGGUAAAAUGCAUUAAUCCUAAACAGACUACCUAUGGCGAAGGCAUUUGACUAGAACGGGUUCGACAGUGAGGGACGAAGGCUAGGGGAGCGAACUGGAUUAGAUACCCGAGUAGUCCUAGCAGUAAACGCCUGCGAGCUAGAUGUUAGAUAUUCUUCGGGGAAUAUCUAGUGUCGGGAGCCGAAGGUGUUAAGCUCGCCGCCUGGGAAGUAUGGUCGCAAGGCUGAAACUUAAAAGGAAUUGACGG